rnacentral:lncRNA from 1 species
UCUGUCCAGGAAGUCAUGAACGUCAAGAGGACGGCGUGAUCGGCUUUCACAUACGUAUACCCCCCACAGAGGCCCCCAGAUGGAGGACCCAGAAGGCCCCUCUGCCCCCUCCCUAGGGUAACCGCUAUUCCGGUUUUAUCAGGUUAGUCUUGCCUGCUUUUGAACGUCAUAUAUGAGCAAUCAUACAGUGUGUUCCUUCUGCGUCUGGAUUUUUUGCCGAAUUCACGUCGUCGUGCACAUCCAUAGUGAGGUCUUUUUCGUGGCUGCGUAAUAUUCCACUGAGUGAUAUACAGCAGCAUGCUGACCCACCCACCCACUGUUGUUUCCAGCUCGGACCCAUUAUAAGCAAAUCUGCUAUGAACAUUGCUUGUACGUGUGUUUUGGUGCCAUAAAUUCUCAUCUCUUCAAUCUUCUCCUUCCUGGCCCCCACUCCCCCCCACCUCCCUGGACUCAUCUAUUUUUUGCAGAGCUGCUGAGUGAGUUUUGGAAAUGAAAAUGAGGAUUCCUCCUCCUCCUCCACCUCGCUCCUCCUCCCCCUUCUCCUCCUCCUCCCCACCAGCAGGGGGGCAGCCUGGCAGUGGUCAGGGCCCCUCUGAGGACAAGUCCAAGUGAGGCCAGGAGACUGGUCACGUUAUGGAGAUUGAGCAAACCGGAGAAAUCGCUUACGUGGUACCCGUGGUAUUUCUUUCGGACGCUGCCGGCCUGGAAAAUGCAGAAACAGACUCAAAACUCCAAGAUAAGAAAACCGAGACUCCCAAGCCCAGGCCGCCUCGGUCUGCCGUUCCUCCCGCUCCUGCCCCCUCCCCGCUUUGACCGGAGCAGUGAGCGCCCCAUCCGCCUUCUGGGGGCCUGCAGCCUCGGCGCCUGGAAACCAGAGAGGCCAGCCGGCGUGUGUGCUGGUUGCCCUGGAGAUGGCAGGGGAAGUCUGCUCCUGUCCCGGUGCCAGGGCUGGGCCGGGCCCUCGACACCCACAUCCCGCCAGACACGGCCCGGUAAUUAAAUAGGGCAAUUUUGGCCCCGGCUCCUCGGACCCCACCCCGGACCGGGACGGUGAGAAAUCACAGAUCCUGCGGGCACGGCCCCAAGACAACGUCCGCUCCGCCCGCAAGGAGCGGGGCACACAGGGUCCUCCCUGAGCCUCCGUGCCCCCUGAGCCGGGGCGGGACCUGCUGCCCCUGCAGGCCUGGAAAAUCCCGCAGGACGGCCCACGCCCGUCUGGCUCAGAGGCGGCGAGGCGGGGUCUGCGUCUCCAGUGUGUCGGGCCUCCGUCUGGACGGGAGCCCGGGAGAGCCGAGGGAGGCAGGCCUCUGGCAGCUCCCACCUCGUUAGCAGAAGCAGAGCGCGCCCAAGGAUGUCGUCCCGGCCGGAUUAGCGGGGCCCACGCACCUAAAGACACCGAUCCUGCAAAUUGGCGGGGAGCCGGGCGAGGGCCAGGACGCAGGCUCCAUUAACUUCCCGUCCCGUCUAAUUAGCCCUAAUAUCGCCCUCAUUCUCCCUAACGCCGGGGAAGUCCUCUAGCCCGGAAUCCUCAGGCCCUUCCGGGGCCUUCCGUGCGGGCUGGCUCCCCCCACCCUCCGGCGCGGAGAGGACUCCCCAUCACCAUGUGCAAUGAAAGCAGAGAGGCCCGUUUCUCCUUUCUAUUUUGAAUUCUGUUAACUGACAAUUUAACCUGAAAUCCUCUGUAUUUCCAGCUUGUACAGCUGUAAAUAGAGACUGACAGUUUAUUUUCACGUCCCGGCUGGAGGGG